CCCGAGCAUUGACUACAUCCAGAAUCACAGCAACAGUUACUGCCACAAUGCUUGAAGAGGUGCCACAAAUUGUGUAGGGUGCUUUCAAAGACUCAGACCCUCUGAGUUGUAUUGUUAUGGAUCUGGAGUGUAAAGUUAAAUGUUAAAGUGUUUUUGAUUGGAAGUAAAGAGAUCCAAAUCGGAUCCACAGGUUGCUUCUCUCAUCAGUCAUUAUUGGGAGCACCUGUGAUUUAUCUCAGCUGGUGGCAAUCAGCUGAGAGAGGCUUUAUAACAAGGCUGGAUCUCUUCGUUCACUUGGGUUUGUCCACAAGAUAUUUGGUGCAGUUGAACGCAAGUUAUUAAGUGCAGUGUUAGUUAGUUUCCAACACCGGACCCAUGACCUUCAGGUUUUGUUUUUAGGGACUGAGUCAACCUUCAGGAUCCAGACUCAGGUCACUGGAACUGGACUGGUCACUCAGACUAGAACACUGAUUCCAAAGAUGGGACCACAGGAUUGGUUACUUGACUUCAACAGUGAGUCCAGGUGAGAGCCUCCUGUGGACACUGGAGGAACAACAGUUUUGUCUGCAUUGGCUUCAUUUUCAAACCCUCCAGUUUGCCGCUUGGUUCCAAGUUCAGAAGUUAUAAGUCCAUGCUCAAAUGACUCUACAUCUCAGGCGAUUUAUUACAUCAAUAAACUUUUUACUACCAAG